rnacentral:rRNA from 1 species
AUUGAACGCUGGCGGCAGGCCUAACACAUGCAAGUCGAGCGGAUGAAGGGAGCUUGCUCCUGGAUUCAGCGGCGGACGGGUGAGUAAUGCCUAGGAAUCUGCCUGGUAGUGGGGGAUAACGUCCGGAAACGGGCGCUAAUACCGCAUACGUCCUGAGGGAGAAAGUGGGGGAUCUUCGGACCUCACGCUAUCAGAUGAGCCUAGGUCGGAUUAGCUAGUUGGUGGGGUAAAGGCCUACCAAGGCGACGCUCCGUAACUGGUCUGAGAGGAUGAUCAGUCACACUGGAACUGAGACACGGUCCAGACUCCUACGGGAGGCAGCAGUGGGGAAUAUUGGACAAUGGGCGAAAGCCUGCUCCAGCCAUGCCGCGUGUGUGAAGAAGGUCUUCGGAUUGUAAAGCACUUUAAGUUGGGAGGAAGGGCAGUAAGUUCAUACCUUGCCGUUUUGACGUUACCAACAGAAUAAGCACCGGCUAACUUCGUG